rnacentral:rRNA from 1 species
UAGAACCAUUCCUUCGGGAAUGGGGACAGCGGCGAACGGGUGAGUAACACGUGGGUAAUCUGCCCUCGAUUCUGGGAUAGCCCGGGGAAACCCGGAUUAAUACCGGAUAGCCUCUCGAGCUUACGAGCUCUUGAGAAAAGGUAGCUUCGGCCUCCGAUCGAGGAUGAGCCCGCGGCGGAUUAGCUUGUUGGUGGGGUAACGGCCUACCAAGGCGACGAUCCGUAGCUGGUCUGAGAGGACGAUCAGCCACACUGGGACUGAGACACGGCCCAGACUCCUACGGGAGGCAGCAGUGGGGAAUCUUGCGCAAUGGGCGAAAGCCUGACGCAGCGACGCCGCGUGGGGGAAGAAGGCCUUCGGGUUGUAAACCUCUUUCAGCAGGGACGAAGCCACUCGGGUUAAUAGCCUAGAGGGUGACGGUACCUGCAGAAGAAGCCCCGGCUAACUACGUGCCAGCAGCCGCGGUAAUACGUAGGGGGCAAGCGUUGUCCGGAUUUAUUGGGCGUAAAGAGCGUGUAGGCGGCCAGAUAGGUCGGUUGUGAAAACUGGAGGCUUAACCUUCAGACGUCGACCGAAACCAUUUGGCUAGAGUCCGGAAGAGGAGAAUGGAAUUCCUGGUGUAGCGGUGAAAUGCGCAGAUUUCAGGAAGAACACCCGUGGCUAAGGCGGUUCUCUAGU